GGAGAGGUGGCCGAGUGGCUGAAGGCGCUCGCCUGCUAAGCGAGUAUGGGCCCUAGAAGCCCAUCGAGGGUUCGAAUCCCUCCCUCUCCG
rnacentral:tRNA from 1 species